GUGCUCACUUCAGCAGCAAAUAUACUAAAACUGGAACAAUACAAAGAAGAUUAGGAUGGCCCCUGUGCAAGGAUGACAUACUAAUUUGUGAAGUGCUCCACAUUUUC
ensembl:snRNA U6 U6 spliceosomal RNA